UCCCAGGUGGCUCAGUGGCAAAAAACUUGCCUGCCAAGCAGGAGACCUGGGUUCAAUCCCCGGGUUGGGAA
rnacentral:tRNA from 1 species